rnacentral:rRNA from 1 species
AAAGGAAUAGACGGGGACCCGCACAAGCAGAGGAUGAUGUGGUUUAAUAUGACGCUACGCGUAGAACCUUACCCAGGCUUGACAUCCUUGGAACCUGGUGGAAACACCGGGGUGCCCUCGGGAGCCAAGUGACAGGUGCUGCAUGGCCGUCGUCAGCUCGUGUUGUGAAAUGUUGGGUUAAGUCCCGCAACGAGCGCAACCCUUAUCGUAUGUUGUAUUUUUCAUGCGAGACUGCCCGGGCCAACCGGGAGGAAGGUGGGGAUGAAGUCAGGUCGGCAUGGCCCUUACGCCUGGGGCUACUCACGUCAUACAAUGGCCAGUACAACGCGCAGCGAAACCGCGAGGUGGAGCAAAUCGCAUCAAAACUGGUCUCAGUUCGGAUUGGAGGCUGCAACUCGCCUCCAUGAAGUCGGAUUUGCUAGUAAACGUGGGUCAGCAUACCACGUUGAAUACGUUCCCGGGUCUUGUACACACCGCCCGU